AGUGUGAAAAAGGCGUGGGAGAAAUAAAGAACGCAUGUGGAACUUACAUCGAUAUGUUUGUUUCCUCCUCCAUUUCGACGUUGCACUUCCUGAAAAAGUUGUCCGGAGUGAGCAUCAAUGCAGACUCGCUAUUUAAGGGCUGAACAGUCCACUCUCCCUCCGCACUACGCGGUUUGGGACGGCCCUUAAUAUGGAGGACCCUCCACGGGAACGCGCAAACGGAGGGGUAGUGUGUAGGGGGCGGUUUGGGAUUCAGCCUUCAUGUCUCAAGACGGAGUCGGCGGCGUCGUCACUUGGCGGCCAUCUUGGGACAGGGGACUGCUCUGUCGCGCUGUACUGUAGUCAAUGGUAAGGUGGAUGAUUUCCUCACUUUAACACUCAUAACUCGCUCAAUUCUUGAUUGAUUUACGAACGGUUUAGUUUAUUACAAACCUUAUUAACGUGGCUAUGAUUCAGGCUCAAUUCUGAAAUCGUAGCUUUUCGUUUUGAAAAAUGCGGCAUAGUUGUGUGUCUUUUCUGCCUGGCUACUCACAUUGAAGAUGGUGUUACUCACAAUCUGAUUUUCAAUUAUUAGGUUUUCCUGAGACCAACGUUUUUUGAGAACCUAAUCUUUAGGUGAAAUUACAUUCUUUGUGGUUGUGGUUGUAUUUAUUUGCUUGUUAAGAGACUUUGAUUGAGACCUUAGACUUAUUGUUUGUAUACAUCUAUGCCUGGAUUAGUUAGCCUGCAGCCGAAAUGCAUUGUGGGUAAUGUAGGCACCAGGUUCAUGAAAAGAAAAGACAACAUCUCUGUUUGUUGUGCUUUGAUUUUGGUUGAGCUUUGUUUUUAUCUGUGCAUUAGAAAGCUGAUAGUAAUAAAGAAGUGCAAUGCUAAAUAAUAAAAUUACAUUUACAUCCAUUUACGCUGAAAAAAGAUGUGUUCAUUUUUUAUUUUUUUGCAGUGGCAGCCUGAAGUUUAGAGAAGUGGAAGGUCCUCACUGCAGUCCUCAAACCAGCAGGAUAAAAUUGUGAAGAUUACAAUAUAAGUAUAAACCAUAAAUUAAGAAUAGUAAGGCACUAAAUAACCUUUGACUAAAAAGACAGCGAGCAGACAAUUUUCAUGCCCGAGAUUUAGAAAUAAAUUCAAAAGCUUAACAUGAUACUGUGCAGCUAGUUAGAGAUAUUGGUCAUCAACCUUUAAUCUUGUUUUUUUUAAGAAGGCGAGAUUAACUUAAAAAUUGCCCACUCCAUUGUUGUAACUUCAGUUGGUUAUGGGACACUGCAAAAAUCCUGGAAAAUGAUUUAUUGAAAAGAGUGGGAACCUUAUUAUUUUUCUUUCUUUAUUUUUUAUUUUUUUGUUCAAAUGUCAUUAUUUUUUCAUUUUAGCAUUACUUUUUUGUUAUUUGUUCAUCAUUUAUUUAUUUUGUCUAUUUGAAUAUUGUAAAUAUUAAAGAUUGACAGUAUGUCUGUGUGUGUAUAGCUAUUUCUUUAUUGCCUAUCUACUUAAUAUAAUUUUUAUAUGAAUUCAAUGGUUUUAAUUAUUCUUAAGUAAGCAGUAAAAGAAGUACAUCUCUGACGUUUAUAACAAACCAAGCUGUUCUAAAAUCGGCUGAAAAUUGAGCAAUCUACAGUGAUUUUAAAAUCCAUGCUCCAUUGACCCUGUCCCAAGAUGGCCGCCAUGUGGCGACGUUGCUCCCCAUAGGCUGACAGCGCUCAUGAGACAUCGAGGCUGAAUCCCAAACCGCCCCCUACACACUAUCCCUACACACUACCCCUCCGUUUGCGCGUUCCUGUGGAGGGUCCUCCAUAUUAAGGGCCGUCCCAAACCGCGUAGUGCGGAGGGAGAGUGGACUGUUCAGCCCUUAAAUAGCGAGUCUGCAUUGAUGCUCACUCCGGACAACUUUUUCAGGAAGUGCAACGUCGAAAUGGAGGAGGAAACAAACAUAUCGAUGUAAGUUCCACAUGCGUUCUUUAUUUCUCCCACGCCUUUUUCACACUGACAGAGCAUCACAAAGAGUGGUGUAAAAAGAUAAAACAAAAGAAACAAAUCUUCUCUGCUGAUGUUUGAUUUAAUUGUGCACCCCCUGACACCUUAAAAUUUGAACACAACUGACAUAAUUCAUUUAUUCAUUUGUUGGAUCUGAAAUUCCAGAUAAUAGGAUUGGAAAAAAUGUGAGUGAAAAAAGUGGGAUGCUUUCGUCUUCUGGAAGCAGCAGCGAUCCUUGUCAGUUGCAACCUGUGCCACAGCGCUACAGCCAUGCACAGUAGGCGUCUUUCUGUUACCAUGGCGAUGACAUCUUCCGUUUUUCGGUGAGGCAACAGGGCAUCCCAUUCCUGCCGAUCGUAUUUGUACCCUCCCCCUUCAGUAAUAGGUGCCCUCCACAGCUGCGAGUGUGACUUCUUUUGGAGUGACACUCGGUAGUGGAGGGGGAGUGUGUAGGGGGCGGUUUGGGAUUCAGCCCUAGUGUUUGUAUAUAUCUAUGAUGCUCACUCUGGACAACUUUUUCAGGAAGUGCAACGUCGAAAUGGAGGAGGAAACAACAUAUUGAUGUGAGUUCCACGUGUGUCCUUUAUUUCUCCCACGCCUUUUUCACACUGACAGAACAUCACAAAAAGAGUGAUGUAAAAAGAUAAAUCAAAAGAAACAAAUCUUCUUCUCUGCUGACGUUUGAUUUAAUUGUGCACCCCCUGACACCUUAAAAUUUGAACACAACUGACAGAAUUCAUUUAUUCAUUUGUUGGAUUUGAAAUUCCAGAUAAUAGGAUUGGAAAACAUGUGAGUGAAAAAAAGUGGGAUGCUUUUGUCUUCUGGAAGCAGCAGCGAUCCUUGUUAGUUGCAACCUGUGCCACAGCGGUACAGCCAUGCACAGUAGGCAUCUUUGUGUUACCAUGGCAAUGACGUCUUCCGUUUUCCAGUGAGGUGACAGGGCGCCCCAUUCCUGACGAUCGUAUUUAUACCCUCCCCCUUCAAUAAUAGGUGCCCUCCACAGCAUUUUUUUCCCCCAUAUUUAUUUAUUACAAAGAAUAACAACAGCAGUUAUUAAAAUUUACAAACAUACAGACAACACAACAGCCAGGGGGGAAGGCUGCUAAAUAAACACAGAAAAUAAAGAGCACAAAUGAUAGGUCUUCAUAGCUUUCUUAUUAUUAGAGUCACAUAUACUUUCCAAGUACUUUUCUGUUUCCUUUUGAAAUCCAAAAAAAACAGGGAUUCGAAUGGCUAAACUUGGCUUUGUGUAUAUGAUAUUUACCCAAUAUAAUUAUUAGAUUUAUGACACCGUUCUUUUUGUUUUUUUACUUCUAACAUCAUGAACACCAAAGAGCACAUUGUCCCAUUUUAAAAGAAAGUCUUUGUCAAUUUUCAGAGUAAUAUAAUGCAGUACCUCUUUCCAAAAGGUGGCAGUAUAAUGACAGUCCCAAAACAGGUGCAUCAAAGUUUCAGGCUCACAACCACAUAAGGAACAGUCCACACACACAUCUCUCCCAAACCUCAACAAGUAGCGUUUGGUAGGAUAGUAUUUAUGAAUUAUUUUGUAAGAUAUUUCUCUAACUUUAUUUGUAAUUAAAUAUUUGUAUGGAAGAUUCCAUAUAUGGACCCAGUUUAACCCAUUGAAAAUAUUGGACCAGUACUGAACAACACAUGUGGUAGUCGUAAAAUCUGUUUGAAAUAAAGAGGUGCCCUCCACAGCUGCGAGUGUGACUUCUUUUGGAGUGACACUCGGUAGUGGAGGGGGAGUGUGUAGGGGGCGGUUUGGGAUUCAGCCUUUAUAUCUAUGAUUGUCGCUACCCAAUCCGUCCCGGAAACCUGAUUUGUACUGUGCAUGUGCGCAAAGUACGUCACUUCCGCUACUCCCGAAAAAAAAAAUAGAAUUUUCUGUCAAUAGACCCUGUGCACGAUAGCAUGUGCUAGUUCCGGUUGAAAAACUCCGGGUGCUACAGUUACUUCCGGUCCUGCUUACAGCGCUGUCAAAAUGGAAGAAGCCAGCAGUACACUUUACUUUUCCAGAUGCCUAGGCAACUUGCCUAAAAUUUCUGUUGACGAUGUUUAUCGUCUCGAUGAUGAUUUUGGGUCAGCUCCUUAAAGCAAACGGGAAAAGGGAUUCAAAUUUUAUAUAUCCCAGUACAUAUAUAACUUUGAAGGUAAGUGGCAUCGCAUCCUACAUAACUAGCGCUAGCUUAACUGUAGGGCUUGCCAAACAUGUACCUUAUCAUUUUAUUUUCCAGUAUUUAUACAUUACUAUUUUUUUGCUUCGUUAGCUACUAGAAUCCACUUUACACUUUAGUCUUUGAUACUUAGCCCGUUGCGCUUCAGUUGCGCUUCAGUGUCCCAUCUGCGGUACACUUUGAGAUCUGCAUAAGCAAGUUGCUAAAUGUCUGAAACUGCAAACGCGAUUAUACAAACACUAUACGCCGAUGGAAGGCUUAGAUUCUCAUGAAUCCGCCGGUAUAAACCACUUUCAGAUGUGAUUACCACAGCGGGUAAUAUAAACACAUUUGUCCGACAAACAACGAAUAUCCAUCCAUCCAUUUUCUAUACACGACUUCAACGUACACAGCGUGACUCACAUUUCCGGGUUCAUUAUUACACACGGAUGAAAAUAUUCCACAAAAAACGGCCAUAAUCCAACCUUGGACAUCCAGACGAAACAAGCCAGUAACAUAUUUUGUCCAAAACAUGUCUUGAAGUCGGUAUAUACUCCACGAAUAGGUCGUUUUCAAGGAAAUGCACCUCGCGAUGCGCGUCUAAUAUUCCCUGUAUUUCUCGUCAUAUUUUUAUUUACAAAUAGAAUAUUAGCGAUUUUUUUGUACUGAAAGUGGCUGGAAUUGACUGCAGCUUAAAGGGUUAGUCGAGUUCAGCGAGACAUUUUAUAUUUGUAGUUUUGUUUGAACAAAAUGACAAAUGCUUGGAUUUCCUCUAUAUUUGAUUAGAUGUAAAAACGGAAUAACAAAUGAUUGAAGAGUGCACGGAUUGUUGUUAUAGUUUAUCAGAUAUUUGCUGUUUGAUCAGUGACUAUGCACUUAUAUUCCCGAUCCUCAGCUCAGUGUGAAACAUUUUUUUUCGUCUAAUUUUGGCAAUCCACUGAGCCCGCAAAUGCCGGUCUUUUGGAAAACGGUGAAGGCUUAUAGAACUGUUAUAAACACCAAAAGCCAAACAUAAUGGUACACUACAGUACCUCCCAUAUCGACCUUGAACACGCUGAAAUCUGAUUUUUUGUUUUGCUGAGAAAACAGUGUUUUUCUUUUUUGAUUCCAUGUUAUCCAUCAUAGAUAUAUACAUCAUAUAUCUAUCCAUAUAUCUAUGUUAUCCAUGCUGCGAAAUAGCCUCCGGAAGGACCUGUAAGCCCCUCCGGUCAGAACCCGGAAGUUAGCAUUUUUGACGUGCACAGGGUCUAUUACUUAAUGAUUCAAGAAUUAUAGCAUUAAGACAGUAGCAGGAACCUUUAGUAGUGAAACUGGGCAUAAUCCUCCUCACUCUAUGGCGAUCUGCUUCUGUCGGAGGAAGCACUCCGUUAAACUGCGGUCAAGUGAGCCGCCCGCACGCUGGGCGUUGCGCGGCUAUUUCGCGUAAUACGGCAGUGUUAUCACAGGCGCUGAGCACAUAGAUAUAGGCUAUGGGCCGAAGCCAAAAAACGUGUUAUUCAUUGAUCCCCGCCGCGUAAGGAAGAAUAUUUUUCACAGCAGACAGAUAAAAUUAUUCUAAGUAUAUUAGUAGUUGUUUCCAACUUCAGUUCGUGCACAUUAAUGAAAGAGAGCAGCCAAUAACUUUUAAUUUUGAGCAGGCAAACGAAGGGGGCUACUUACGUCAUCUCCAUGACAACCAGGAAGAAGCUGCGGCAAAAUAUGCUAACGCCGGCUUCGGAAAGACUUAAAAUAAACAGAAUACGUUUUUCCUCCGAAUGAGCUUACAAGCUAGACUACAUGGUCCUAAUUAUUAAUUCCCAACAGUGUUAUGGUAUACUUGCACGGUAAAAAUCAACGCUAUAGACCUUUUUCCGAAACGUCAUCAUCGAACGUCACCGCCGGUCACCGGCCCUAGCAACGCGAUUCCGCCAUUUUAAGAGGGGUAUGCUUUGCCUUGACGACCAUUACUUUCCCACGUUUCCCUCCCGAUUUGAACGACCAAAAGCAGAUAUGCCCAAAACCUGCGCUGUUUUUGGCUGUAGUUCUCAGUCAUGGAGCAACAAGAACAUUUCCUUUUACAGGAUUCCGACUGAAAAGGGCCAGAAAAGGACUUUAUGGCUCACAGCAUUGAGGCGGAUUAACAAUAAUGGUACCACAUGGAGCCCACAGUCAAAAUGGUCCUAUGUUUGCAGUCAGCAUUUCGUCAAUGGUCUAUUGUGUUUCAUGAAAUUAUUACCCCUUAACUGAUUUUCUGAAAUUAUUAAUUAAUAAGCUUAACCAGUUGUGCUUCAGUGUCCCGCCCGUGGUACACUUUGAAAUCUGCAUAAGCAAUUUGCUAAAUGUCUGAAACUGCAAACGCGAUUAUGCAAACACUAUACGCCAAUGGAAAGCUUAGAUUCUCAUGAAUCUGCCGAUAUAAACCACUUUCAGAUGUGAUUACCACAGCGGGUAAUAUAACCACAUUUGUCCGACAAACAACAGCGCGACUCACAUUUCCGGGUUCAUUAUUACACACAGAUGAAAAUAUUCCACAAAAAACGGCCAUAAUCCAACCUUGGACAUCCAGACGAAACAAGCCAGUAACAUAUUUUGUCCAAAACAUAUCUUGAAGUUGGUAUAUAAUCCAUGAAUAGGUCGUUUUCAAGGAAAUGCACCUCGCGAUGCACGUCCAAUAUUCCCUGUAUUUCUCGUCAUAUUUUUAUUUACAAAUAGAAUAUUAGCGAUUUUUUUUUUGUACUGAAAGUGGCUGGAAUUGACUGCAGCUUAUGAUGUCUAUAAUUAUCUGAAAUGUUGAGGGCUAGCUACUUAGCUUAGGCUAGUGCUAGCUGUGCUUCCCACAAAAAGUCAGGGGUCUUUCUACUCACACUGCUAUUUUUAAACCUUCUCUCCUCCCUUCCGUUCUGCUAACUACUAUGCUGUAAUCAGCAGCAUUGUCCUCAUUAUUGUUAGCACCUCAUACCCUUGGGCCUAGGGUGGGUAGAGCUCAUUUACAGGUAUCUGACUCUUAGUUUUGAUAAUGCACAUCUAACUAAUAUACAUACACUACUUACACUUGAAAUUAAAAGGUGUAAUGGCUCACCCCGUUAGCUUAACAUUAGCUUAGCAUAGCGGCGCUGGUGUAGCCGUAUCUUACACGGCAUUUAUCAUUCUGACAUUGACCUGUAUGCACAAAAAUGCAUAAAUAUAAGCAUACCUCAAAGAAAACGUAUGAGUCCAGGCUUUUAUAAGUCUUCAUCUUCUCCAUUGUGUGGAUACCUGGGCUGUUGAUAAGGUACUCGUAAAUGGAGUGCUAAUGAAGAUCUGGACAUGUAGUAGGGUCGUUUUCCCAUGAUCCCAGUGCAAUUUGGUACGGACAUGACUGCAAACCAACCAGUUCUAUUUUUUCUUUAUACCGUAGCUUGGCUUUUGGCUCAAGAUUUCCGAAAUAAUCACCAGACGUUUGUCUCCGGGUCAAAACCGCGUGGUUUCAGCGGUCAAAUCACGGUUGCUAAUGACUUUGUUGCCCCCUCUUAAAAUGGCGGCGUGCGUUGCUAAGGAAGGUAUGGUCACGUGUCCCAGACUCUGACGUCACUGCGAAAAGGUCUAUUGUUUUCUCCUGGCGUUAAAUAUCCAACGUUCUUUGACGUUCUUUGUCAUAUUUCACACUACAUUAUCUUUCCAAUUCAACACAGCUGCCACUAUUACAGUGUCAAAUGAACAAUAUUUAAAGCCGUUUUUAUUUAAAUACCAGAAUGUCCAAAUAAAACAUACAUUGUCUGUUAAAUUGUCUCUGUUAUUUAUAUGCCACAACAUUGAGGUGUAACUAUGGGCAUAAUUGAAUUACAAGAAUAAAACUAUGUACUAGAUUGUUUUGGCUAUUUUCAAUGAUGGAUAAGUCUCUUACCAUGGGCUGAAUCCUAAACCGCCCCCUACACACUAUCCCUCCGUUUGCGCGUUCCCGCGGAGGGUCCUCCAUAUUAAGGGCCGUCCCAAACUGCGUAGUGCGGAGGGGGAGUGGACUGUUCAGCCCUUAAAUAGCGAGUCUGCAUUGAUGCUCACUCUGGACAACUUUUUCAGGAAGUGCAACGUCGAAAUGGAGGAGGAAACAAACAUAUUGAUGUGAGUUCCACAUGCGUCCUUUAUUUCUCCUACGCCUUUUUCACACUGACAGAACAUCACAAAGAGUGGUGCAAAAAGAUAAAUCAAAAGAAAUAAAUCUUCUUCUCUGCUGACGUUUGAUUUAAUUGUGCACCCCCUGACACCUUAAAAUUUGAACACAACUGACAGAAUUCAUUUAUUCAUUUGUUGGAUUUGAAAUUCCAGAUAAUAGGAUUGGAAAACAUGUGAGUGAAAAAAGUGGGAUGCUUUCGUCUUCUGGAAGCAACAGCGAUCCUUGUUAGUUGCAACCUGUGCCAUAGUGCUACAGCCAUGCACAGUAGGCGUCUUUGUGUUACCAUGGCGAUGACAUCUUCCGUUUUUCCGGUGAGGCGACAGGGCAUCCCAUUCCUGACGAUCGUAUUUAUACCCUCCCCCUUCAAUAAUAGGUGCCCUCCACAGCUGCGAGUGUGACUUCUUUUGGAGUGACACUCGGUAGUGGAGGGGGAGUGUGUAGGGGGCGGUUUGGGAUUCAGCCAUGGUCUCUACUGCUGUGGUCCGUCCCUUGGUCUGUCCUCUCACUUGACCUCUGCACCAGAGGAUGAAGUGCUGCAUGCAUUUAGUCUGUGACACAAAGUCUGCAGUAACACCUUUUUCACAGAAAAGCUGGGAGAGAUAUGUCUAUUGUGCCAAACAAUGGGUUACCCUCAACACUGCAGAAACGCUGAUUGCUGAAAAAGCAUUUUCAGCAUUUAAUAUCAGCAAUGAAGAUGUCCCUGACGUGCCGAGCAAUGUGGGAUACCACAGAGAAUGCUACAGUGCCUUCACAAACAAAGACCACAUCUAAAGAGCAAACUGUAAGCAAGCCAAGUCAGCCCAAGAAAAUGAAGGUUUGUAUCAAAUCCAUUAUCUGCAAGUAUGAUGACCAAAUAUGUUACGAUGAGACAUACUAACUCAUUGCAAGCCACUACAGUUUUGACAACAUGACUUAGUUAUCCGUGAACAUACUAAAAAAAGUUAUGUUUCUCCAUCUGAGUGAAUGGAACAGCCGAAAUUGAAAAUUAAUCAGACAAGAUCACAGUGACGCAAUGAUCACAUUUGUUUUACAUGUACUUGAUUGCAGUGCACCACCACAGUAAAAUGAAACUCUCCACAACAUCAGAAUGCCAUUACAAUGCUCAGAAGAACCGCUGCCAGAUACCAGUGAUGGUGCUCCAUCCAAGGUUCGGGUUCUGCGCUCUUCAAGUGGCCCAGAACAACCCAAAAGGGCUCCACACCUCCUGCCUGUUGCAUGCCUGCUAUGCAAGGAGAACAGAUAUAUCAACAUCUGGCACAACAGAAAGAGGCAGAUCAACUCCUUCGUGCUGCUGAGGGGAAGAAGGAUGAACACCUGUUGCUUCAAAUCCGUGGAAGAGGCCAUCUAUCACCACAGUUGCUUCGCAAAUUACACAAGAUACCUGAGAGGAACAAAGAGAGAGGUUUCUGAAGAGGCAAAUCCGUAUCAGGCAGGCUACAGACAUUUCUGUUAGACAGUGGUGGAAGAGUGCCUACUGGCAAACCGUGAAGUGUUGAGGCUUUCACGGCUAAAUGACCUCUUUAAGGAAAUUUUUACAGAUAAGGAAGGACUGGACAUUUCGACUUCUAAAGCAUUUAGCUUAAAAUCAAGGCUUCCUAAGUCCCAUCCAUGUCUUAAAUUCCUUAAAGCAGCCAGAAAUGACUUUGUCUAUGUAGAGGACCUAACUGCUGAAGAGGUCAUCCAGGAUGAACCGGCACAGCCGUCAUCAGACAGCAGUGACUCAGAGGAGGAUGGCAUGGAACCCAGUCAUUUAGGCCAUCAACACAAGAAUGACCCUGCAAGCAUAGGUUGGUUUGACAUUUCUUAAUCUAUAGCGUCCUUGUAAUUAUAGUUAAGUUGAUGUUACACACCUUGCUUACCUGCAUUUCACCAUUCUACCUGGUUGUGUAGUGACAGUCUCUGACUUCUCCACAGACAGACACCUGUACCAUUCAGCCAUGCUGCUGAAAGAGAUCACAGAGACCAAGUGUAAAGUGACUCCAAAAAUGCCCUGGCCACCAACAUCACAAGACCUUAAGAUGGACACUGCCUCCAGUGUUGUCAGUGCAAAGCACUAAAAUGUGUGCAGGGGGAGAUGCACAUGCAAACAGCACCAGCUACCAUGCACAGACAUGUGUGCAUGUAUUUACUGCUCCAAUUCUGCAGGACAUGAAACAUAAGAGGAAAAAAAGAGAGCAAGCUUCAUGGGCAUGCUUAUGCCAAAUUUGUGGCUUUCAUAGCACUUUUUUGUAUAAAGUUCAUCUUGUUCAAGUUAAUUUUUUUCUGGUGUCAGUUCAUUUAAUGUCCAUAUGAUAACCUACGCUUGUAUAUCCUAGUCACUGAUGCACAACAACUGAAGCUCUAACAAAACUACAAACUUCAUCUCAAAAAAAUAGAAACUAAUUAAAUAUGUAUCAAUAGCAAAGCUGAUCAGAUCGGGAA